rnacentral:rRNA from 1 species
GUGGGGAAUAUUGCACAAUGGGCGCAAGCCUGAUGCAGCAACGCCGCGUGAGGGAUGACGGCCUUCGGGUUGUAAACCUCUUUUAGCAGGGAAGAAGCGAAAGUGACGGUACCUGCAGAAAAAGCACCGGCUAACUACGUGCCAGCAGCCGCGGUAAUACGUAGGGUGCAAGCGUUGUCCGGAAUUAUUGGGCGUAAAGAGCUCGUAGGCGGCUUGUCGCGUCUGCCGUGAAAACCUCAGGCUGAACCUGGGGCGUGCGGUGGGUACGGGCAGGCUAGAGUGCGGUAGGGGAGAUUGGAAUUCCUGGUGUAGCGGUGGAAUGCGCAGAUAUCAGGAGGAACACCGAUGGCGAAGGCAGAUCUCUGGGCCGCUACUGACGCUGAGGAGCGAAAGCAUGGGGAGCGAACAGGAUUAGAUACCCUUGUAGUCC